UACAGAGGUCUCAAGCGUUGUUCGGAUUCAUUGGGCGUAAAGGGUGCGUAGGUGGCGCGGUAAGUCGGGUGUGAAAUUUCGGAGCUUAACUCCGAAACUGCAUUCGAUACUGCCGUGCUUGAGGACUGGAGAGGAGACUGGAAUUUACGGUGUAGCAGUGAAAUGCGUAGAUAUCGUAAGGAAGACCAGUGGCGAAGGCGAAUCUCUGGACAGUUACUGACACUGAGGCACGAAGGCCAGGGGAGCAAACGGG
rnacentral:rRNA from 1 species